rnacentral:rRNA from 1 species
AUUGAACGCUGGCGGCAUGCCUUACACAUGCAAGUCGAACGGUAACGCGGGGGCGAACCCUCGGCGACGAGUGGCGAACGGGUGAGUAAUACAUCGGAACGUACCCAGUAGUGGGGGAGUAGCUCGGCGGAAAGACCGGAUUAAUACCGCAUACGACCUAUGGGUGAAAGCGGGGGAGUCNCAAGACCUCGCGCUAUUGGAGCGGCCGAUGUCGGAUUAGCUAGUUGGUGAGGUAAAGGCNCACCAAGGACUACGAUCCGUAGCUGGUCUGAGAGGACGACCAG